AGCAAAUGAUGCAAAUGAAUAUUUGCUAUCUGAGUGAUGUUGCUGACAAGAUAUCCACCAAGAUCGCUGAUGCU